GGCUCUUCCACGUGAGAAAAAACCCAAUUCCAGUCUCUGCAGGCAUCCCUGUCUCUGCAUUCCUGUAUUAGGACAGGAAGCGGCUUUCCCGAUGCUGGGGAGUCAGGACUGGAAGCCCCUCUGGAGGAUCUGAGCCACCUCACUCACAGGUUACUCAGGAAAGACAGGCGAAGGCAGGAGCGCUGCAAUAAUCAGGACCUGUAGACAACAGAAUUGAAGUAGCCUGAUACUAAGCCUUCAUGAAAGCAGUGUCAGGCAACGCUGAGGGCAGAACCUGGCCAAGCUCCUGCUGCUGCCCACCAGCAGGAAGGAUUCCUCUGUGGCUAGCGCAGCAAACCCACAGCACGCUCUGGGUCCUUUUGCGCCGCGGGUUCAUACCUCUGUGACCUGCAGGUGCUGGUUUUGCAUCCAUUCAGCAGCAAAUCUGAACCAUAUCUGCACAUCCAGGUGCUCCCCUGUUGCCAGACGAUCGCAGGUCCUCUUUGAACUGUUACCAACCCACACAACAUCAGAGCAACUUCACGGUAAAUAGCGCCGGGACCGAGGAGAAGCAAGAAAUCCAACCUCGCCUCACCAGGAUUCUUUUUUUGGCAUCCAACGAUCCCAUGUGCAAUCUGAACCUCUCCUCUGGGCUCCAGGCGUUUCCUGCAAUGGCCUUGCAGUUAGUUCUCAAAUAAUCUGCUUAAUGAAAUCAGAAAAGGGAGAAAAAAAUCUUUUAUUUUUCCUCUCUCUUGCCAUAAAAAGAAGAGAAAUUAAUGAUAGCGAUUCUAAAUACAGAGACCUAUUUUUGGUCUAUUUCAUGAAAGGAUUAUGUGGUGAUUAUGAUUAAGAAAAGUAAUUUUCUUCUGUACAGACUGUAAUGGAUAAUGCCCAAAACAGGCCUGUUUAGACGCCAUUUUUCACCUUUUUCAAACUCUAAGGAAAACACUCAACUCCUCAGGGUUCGCUGUUGGCAAAGGUCUGGCAUUGCAAACGCCCUUAGUAAAUCCAUGCGCCCAUGCUUUUUGUAAGUUGUUUUUCUCUAGUGUUGAGCUACAUACCCCAGAGGUCACUCGGCAUAUUUAAAACUCCUGGCCGUGGGUGAAAUCCAGCUGUGAAUGGUUUGUACCGGGCAUGAAUAGCCAAAUACUCUAUUUUUGAUGUUCCCAAUGGCAUGCGCAGAUUGCUGGGCAAGACUUUUCAUAAAUGCCAGAGUUAAGAGCACAAAUCCCUUGGACUUGCAUAUUUACUUUUUACGUGCUAAUCUGGGUUUGAAUUUGGCACGUGGUUUAGGACUGGGAUCCAGACCAGCCCGCUGAGCCAGGCAGCCAUGGCCACUGCUGGCAGAGGAAGGGCCGAGGGGCCCGAGCUGGAGUCGUUGCUGCUCGCAGGGUUCAGGUGACCCUGGUUCUGCCACGUAAGGCUCGGGGGAAAAAGCCCGUGUUUAGCCCUGUGCCUGAUGCAGGGGUUUCUGUCAUUUCUGCACCCCGUUAGCACAACUGCAGCAUUCACAGGAGAAAGUGAGGCAAAGAGAAUUGUUUUUUCCUUAUUCCUUGGAACACGCACGUUUGUACAAUACUCUCUGUCCAUUGUGCUGGGCUCGGGAAAAACAGUUUCAUUUCUUCACCGUUCAGAUGAUGUAUGAUGGCUGACACAUAAUUACUGAUACAGCCACAAAGUACGGCAGAUAGCAGCGGAUUUAUCAGGUGGAGAUAACCUGCUCAUGAACUUCUCUUUGAGACUACCAGCGUUGAAGGGAGGCGCCUGCUGCUAGAUGACACGUGCUUUGGCUUCCCUCAGGCAUUUCUGUAAACAUUAUGUUGCUAUUAAUUCAUCUUUUCUCACCAAAAAAGCUUGGAAUUAGGGAAAAAACCCUAAAAACCAGCCAAAAGCCCCCACAGAGAGAGCGUUGGUUCUAAAAAGGAGAUUGAAACCCCAGGAGGGCAAGCAGACAGAUCAGUUUGACCCCCUCUGAUGGCAGUGCGUUGUUGGCAGGUGGUGCAUGGCCGAGCAUGGCACGCUGCUGCAGGGCAACGCGCACAGGCAGCAGGGCUGGCAGGGGCACAAGCGCUGCUCCCCUGCCCUUCAUCUUACGUGUGCUCACCUCCCAAGGGGUCAAGAAGUACGCUCAUGGCUCCUGAGAAAGAGAAAGCAACAGCUUGCAAACCUGACAGUGGAAACCUCCAGUUUUUAACUUCAACACUCACAUGUCUGUAGUCCUAGGUUGCGUACUCAGGGUCUUGUACACGGACACUGCCAUAAUUGACUGUUUGCUCAGAACAGGCUCUAAUUCUCCAUGAAGUUACUUUCUCGAUAGCCAGCAAACAUGGUGCACCUGCACUGCAGCAGCCCUGGGACAGGAAGCAGGUGCCAUCGACCAGAGUAGGCAGAAGGACAGGGGUACCCAGCAGCAAGAGCAGCCACCUGUCAGGGCUCCUUUACAGAAAGGAAGAGCAGGGUGUCUCCUAUUUUUAUUUGUUUUGUGACUUGGUUCAUCAGCUGAUUCCUCCUCGGAACCUGCUGAGCACCUGGCCCUCGUUACCACCUGGCUCGGGAGGAUGGAGCAAGGUGGGGGGGGUGGAGGUGCCUGGGCCACGGCUGCUCAUGGGAAGCAGGGCAAAGGAUGCUGGGGCUGGCACUGCCCCACGCUUCUCCCCCUCGGCGGCAGCGGCACCGCCUAUGCCCGGGUGCAAAGCACGUGUUUGGACAGAGAUGUACACACACACACACAGAGCAUGAGGGACACAGUGAUAGAGGCACACAGAGGAGUGACACAGUGACGGGGCACACGCAUGCAAACACACAGACACAGAGCAACACGGGGAGAGACAAGCAGCACAGCUGUGGGAGAUGGGCGUGAGUGCACGCACACACUGACACAGCAGGACAGAGUGAUAGAUGGGGAGACAGGACAAACAUGAAGAGAGACAGACAUGGUGACAAAGGGACGGCCACACACACACACAC